UACGGAGGGCGCGAGCGUUAAUCGGAUUUAUUGGGUGUAAAGGGCGUCUAGGCGGGAAUGAAAGUCAGAUGUGAAAUCUCGGGGCUCAACUCCGAAGGUGCAUUUGAAACUUCAUUUCUUGAGGAUAGAUGGGGAAAGCAGAAUUCCACAAGUAGCGGUGAAAUGCGUAGAUAUGUGGAAGAAUACCGGUGGCGAAGGCGGCUUUCUAAUUUAUUCCUGACGCUGAAGCGCGAAAGCGAGGGGAUCAAACAGG
rnacentral:misc_RNA from 1 species